AUACUUUCCUAGACGGGUUAAUGAGCGAUCAACAAGGCCCAUGGCCUAGGUUGGUGACCUCCAUUGCACUUUGGAGGGGUGCCAGCCUAAGAUUGGCCCAAGUGGUUGAGCUUACAUAAUAAUUUGUUACAGUGGCUG
rnacentral:snRNA from 1 species